CCAAGUCAGGUGGCCAAGCACCCACGGGCUAUGCCGACGCUGCACAGCCUGUUCUGUUGGUGCCCAGGACAGGACGGUUGUGGGAGGCAGAGGUGGGUGAACCCUGUCCAGACCUGCUGUCCCUGGCAGUGUCCUGUGCACCUGGAGGUGCCUACCAGCCUGCCCUCACAGGGACCUGGAGAGGUGACCCACUCUUCGGGCAUCUUGAAAGGAGCGGAAAUGUCUGAGCCUUAAUUUGAGGUCUCUGAGAAAUCUGGAAAGGAGAGGGAUCUGUGCUGACACGCAUCACGAGGGUGGAUGCAGCUCAGGAGGAGCCAAACAGCUUCGGUGCACCACGGGGAAGGAUCUGGGCUUCUUGAGACCUUGUUCAAACUGAACCUUUAAGCAGGAUGAUUGCCCAUCAAUAAAGAAGAGACCAGAGAGAACCA
rnacentral:lncRNA from 1 species